UACGUAGGGUGCGAGCGUUGUCCGGAAUUACUGGGCGUAAAGAGCUCGUAGGUGGUUUGUCGCGUUGUUCGUGAAAUUCCCUGGCUUAACUGGGGGCGUGCGGGCGAUACGGGGCAGACUGGAGUACUGCAGGGGAGACUGGAAUUCCUGGUGUAGCGGUGGAAUGCGCAGAUAUCAGGAGGAACACCGGUGGCGAAGGCGGGUCUCUGGACAGUUCCUGACGCUCAUGCACGAAAGCCAGGGGAGCAAACGGGG
rnacentral:rRNA from 1 species